GUGCCCCUCCCUUGCAACACCAACGAACGCAGUACACACCUCCAUCGGCAUUCCUGUAACCUGGACGACCAACAAGUAGUGGCAACCGGUUGUUGCAGCCAUGAAAGGGUGGCCAAAUUUCGUAGAUGUCACCAUUUGGUUCUUGAGCCGGCUCUUGGAAAAACCCCAAACUUCAUACUUAAGUGUCUAACAUUUCAAUGCAUUUUUAGAGAUGGAUUCACAAGAUUCCGGACAUAUGUAUUUCACCAACCUCCUAAGUGAAGAUCCUCAACUAGACCCCACAUAUGGUGGGCAAAGUGGAAACUCUCCUAUGACUGUUGAUGACUCUCCACCCCUAUCCCAUAACGAUCUUAUCGGCAUUAGGAAAUCAGUCAAGGAUGCGAACUUUACCCCCGAGGAAGACAAGUUACUUGUCUCUGCAUGGCUUAAUUGUAGCCUUGAUGCCGUUCAGGGAGCAGA